UACGUAGGGUGCUAGCGUUGUUCGGAAUCAUUGGGCGUAAAGCGCGUGUAGGCGGUUAGUUAAGUCGGGGGUGAAAUCCUGGAGCUCAACUCCAGAACUGCCUUCGAUACUGGCGAUCUUGAGUCCGGAAGAGGUGAGUGGAACUCCUAGUGUAGAGGUGGAAUUCGUAGAUAUUAGGAAGAACACCAGUGGCGAAGGCGGCUCACUGGUCCGGUACUGACGCUGAGGUGCGAAAGCGUGGGGAGCAAACAGG
rnacentral:rRNA from 1 species